UUAUUUAUUUAAACUGUGCGAGACGUUUGGACUGUUUAUUGAUUUACUUUGUAAAACCGUCAUGGGUAGUUACAAAGGAGCUAAAUAAACUGAUCCAAUAGAGAAAUACACAGGUAUGCAGAUACACAGACAGACAGACAGAUCAAUAGGUGUAUAGACAGGCAGACAGGAGUAGAUAGAUCAAGCAAUAGGUAAGAAGGACAGACAAAAAGGUAGACAGACAGGUAGAUAGAGAGACAGACAGACCAGUACGGAUCUAUAGGUAGAUAGACAGACAGACGAGAAUAAAUAGGUAGACAGACAGACAGAUGGGUAGGUAGACAGACAGACAGACGAGUAGAUAGAUCAAUCAAUACUAUAGGUAAGAAGACAGACAGAUAGGUAGAUAGACAAAUCAAUAGAUAGAAAGAAAGACAGGAGUAGAUAGAUCAAACAAUAGGUAAGAAAGAGAGACAAAAAUGUAGACAGACAGGUAGAUAGAGAGACAGACAGACAAGAAGAUAGAUCAAUAGGUAGGUAGACAGACAGAUAGAUAGGUAGACAGACAGAUAGGUAGGUAGACAGACAGAUAGGUAGGUAGACAGACAGACGAGUAGAUAGAUCAAUAGGUAGAUAGACAGACAGAUAGGUAGACAGACAGAUAGGUAGGUAGACAGACAGAUAGGUAGGUAGACAGACAGACGAGUAGAUAGAUCAAUAGGUAGAUAGACAGACAGAUAGGUAGGUAGACAGACAGAUAGGUAGACAGACAGAUAGGUAGGUAGACAGACAGACACGAGGGUAGAUAGAUCAAUAGGUAGAUAGACAGACAGAUAGGUAGGUAGACAAAUCUAGACAGACAGACAGACAGACAGACGAGUAGAUAGAUCAAGCAAUAGGUAAGAAGACAGACAGACGAGUGGAUAAAUAGAGCAAUCAAUACUGUAGGUAAGAAGACAGACACAUAGGUAAAUAGACAGACAGACAGGAGCAGAUAGACAGAUCAAGAGAUAAGCAGAUAGACAGACAGACGAGUAGACAGAGACAGA
ensembl:lncRNA